rnacentral:rRNA from 1 species
AUGCACGCUGGCGGCGUGCCUAAUACAUGCAAGUCGAGCGAACGGACGAGAAGCUUGCUUCUCUGAUGUUAGCGGCGGACGGGUGAGUAACACGUGGAUAACCUACCUAUAAGACUGGGAUAACUUCGGGAAACCGGAGCUAAUACCGGAUGAUAUUUUGAACCGCAUGGUUCAAAAGUGAAAGACGGUCUUGCUGUCACUUAUAGAUGGAUCCGCGCUGCAUUAGCUAGUUGGUAAGGUAACGGCUUACCAAGGCAACGAUGCAUAGCCGACCUGAGAGGGUGAUCGGCCACACUGGAACUGAGACACGGUCCAGACUCCUACGGGAGGCAGCAGUAGGGAAUCUUCCGCAAUGGGCGAAAGCCUGACGGAGCAACGCCGCGUGAGUGAUGAAGGUCUUCGGAUCGUAAAACUCUGUUAUUAGGGAAGAACAUAUGUGUAAGUAACUGUGCACAUCUUGACGGUACCUAAUCAGAAGGCCACGGCUAACUACGUG